rnacentral:misc_RNA from 1 species
GCUCAUUCGAAUGAUUUUUUUAUUAUAAGCAUUUUAAGUGCAAUCCACCAGCAUCAUAAUGACAACAAUGUUCAAUUGGAUCCCUUAACAAGCUUAUAUUAGCAAGAUACUUAAAUAUCUAUAUGCAAGGCAACAUUUCAUUGUACUCUCAAGCAGAAAUCGCUCCAUUAUAUCAUACAUAUCCAAUGUACAAGAACUCAUACACUAGAGGGGGCUUCAACAAUAAUAAAUGCCAACUCUCUUACAAGGCCAGUCACUAACAAGGGAAAGUAUACCAGCAUGUAAUCUGCUCAUUGUCAAUCGUCAAAGCCAGGACUCAGCCCUUCCAGUUAAAAUUCCAUGAGUAACCUAGCAAACUUCCUGAGAGAUAGAGGAACCAUAGCUAAACUCCUAGAAAGACCGUUCCCUGCUUGCAGACAUUUCAAUCUGCUUUGUGACCAUUUGUGUAUUUUCCUUGCUUCGAAGGAGGUAGAGUGUCAAUGAGAAAAGACUUCAUGUGCUUGUACAGCUCUUUAGGCCUCUCUGCAUUAAGUGCAUGCCCCACAUUUUUUAUUAUCACUAAUUCAGCAUUUUCACCAAUAUGCCGUUUUAAUCUAUGUGCCAGUUCCACUGGGAAGACCUGGUCAUAUUCUCCCCAGAUUAUUAGCGUAGGCUGGACUAUCUUGGGAAGAUUAGACAGCUUUCUACCAUUGUGCAAUGCCUGAAUCAGUUCUUUCUUCUCUUGACGAUAUUCUGUGCACAUGACCUCAAUAAAAUCGCUUAGAAAACAAGUCGGAGCAGGCUUUGGAGGCUUAUGAAAAGACAAUCGCAUCAACUGUCUAACUUUCUCGGGACUCUGAGGCAACAAAAUACUAAUUGCCUCAUCCACAGUCUUCACUUUAAACAUCCCUUCCUCCAUGUCCUUCUCCUCCAAGCAUACUCCAGCGCAUCCCAGCACCACUCGCCCGACGCGCUCCUUGAACUGGGCCGCCAUGCUGUAAGCCACGAAACCACCAUAACUCAACCCCAUAAGAUCCAUGUUCUUUACAUUAAGCGCAUCCAUAAGAGCCAUGAUGCACUGGGCUUGAAACGCCUCGGUCCUCUCUGGUCGGUUCGUGUAGGAAUCGCCGAAAAAGAGGAGGUCAGGGACGUAGAGAUUGAAUUUGGACUUCAAGGGAGGGAUGAAGUCGUUGAAUUGCCACAUUGCGUUGGCACCGAAGCCGUGGAUCAAGAGCAGCGAAGGCUUGGCCGGGAAAUGAGUUUUGGGGACCCAGCAGUGCAUGUGGGUGCCAUCACCGAGAUCGGUGGUGGAGGAUUUGAGGCCCGCCUUAGUGAAGAAGUAGCGGUAGCAGGAGUCUCGGGAGGCACUGAAGCUAAAACACUUCGCCAUUCUUGUCUCUGCUCUCUAAUCUCUUUUCUCGUAUUCUCGGUGAU